UUCAUUAAUACUUUCUAGAAAAAUUUUAUCGCAAGUUGCUUGUAUAUGAGACAUUAUAUCUUCCCUAGCAGUAUUGUUUGCUUUGAUGUAGCAUCAUAGUAUCAAUAGUAGCACCGGAAAGGUUGACCUUAAAAAAAAUCUUCAUUAGCAAUGUCAAAGGAGAUGUCUUUAAAUUAACAACGAAUCUAUCGGUUUGGAAAGAAAAAUGCCGUCAAGGGCCCGAUCAUGAAUUUUUUUUAAUUCAGGAUCAUCCAACAGGAUUUUAUAAACUAGAGACCGCGCCACGUAAAGCUUCGCUCCAGAAAACUUUGGUAAUUUGAACUUUUAACAUGCGACGAGUCGUGUUACACAAUGUCUGUAUGCGUCUUUCACUCAACGCAUACUGCUUUGUGUCUUUAGGUACCAUUGACAAUUUAACGCCUGCAUCUUGUAGUUCUUGGACAAGUUUAUCAUUAACUAAUAUUCACUACCCUUGUUAGUUCUUAUUUU